AGAUAGAGGAAAAGUAGAUAUGGUCGACUUAGAUCAGAUGAGAAAGAUUGACAUGUAGUCCAUAAGAAUGAAUUUCUAAUGUGAGUGGCACCUGGUGGGAUUAUCCAUAGGUUUAUACUUGCAGGUUCCUGUAAGAAGUUAAGAACAAUGAUAUAAGAACUAUGUACAAAGGCUACACAUUAUAGUAAGCGGGUACUACCACCAUCGUGGCAGGACGGUGUCCUCAUAAAUCACAAUCUCAUUCCACGAAACAAAGAUACAAACCGGAAGUCGAUCAAGCUCAAGGCGCAUGCAUGGUUUUGUACAUGGGUUUGUACGUUACUAUCCUUGCCGAUUCACAAAUUUCCCUACAGAGUGAGGACAUGAUUUUGAGACUAAAAUUAUGACAAAUUAGAAUUCAUUCAUGUUGAACUAAUGUUAAAUAUAAUAGUGUAUAUUUGUAAUAAGCGCGCCUCAAUGAAUCUUGAUCUGAUAUUUGGUUUUGAUUUAUCAAUCUCAGUUCUUACUGUGGAUAAAAAAGAAUUGCGGUAGUAACCAACCUGGCGCCUGGGCAACCAGUAUAUAUACAUGACAUUGAGCGCGCACUUCACAGUUCGUUCAUUAUGACACGUCUCAAGUGACCUCUAUGCGUAAUUUAUGUGUUUUUCCUUUAUUCAUUCAACACCAAUUAAAGC